rnacentral:rRNA from 1 species
CAGUAGCCGCGGUAAUACGUAGGGUGCAAGCGUUAAUCGGAAUUACUGGGCGUAAAGGAUACGCAGGCGGUUUUUUAAGAUGGAUGUGAAAUCCCAGGGCUCAACCUUGGAACUGCAUUCAUAACUGGAAAGCUAGAGUACGGAAGAGGGGGGUAGAAUUCCACGUGUAGCAGUGAAAUGCGUAGAGAUGUGGAGGAAUACCGAUGGCGAAGGCAGCCCCCUGGGACGAUACUGACGCUCAUGUACGAAAGCGUGGGGAGCAAACAGGAUUAGAUACCCGCGUAGUCCCUGUCUCUUAUAC